AGGAUUAGAUACCCGGGUAGUCCCAGCUGUAAACGAUGCAGACUCGGUGAUGCAUUGGCUUGUGGCCAAUGCAGUGCCGCAGGGAAGCCGUUAAGUCUGCCGCCUGGGAAGUACGUACGCAAGUAUGAAACUUAAAGGAAUUGGCGGGGGAGCACCACAAGGGGUGAAGCCUGCGGUUCAAUUGGAGUCAACGCCAGAAAUCUUACCUGGGGCGACAGCAGAAUGAAGGUCAAGCUGAAGACUUUACCAGACAAGCUGAGAGGUGGUGCAUGGCCGUCGCCAGCUCGUGCCGUGAGAUGUCCUGUUAAGUCAGGUAACGAGCGAGACCCCUGCGUCUAGUUGCUACCAUUACUCUCUGGAGUAGUGGAGCGAAUUAGACGGACCGCCGCAGUUAAUGCGGAGGAAGGAAGGGGCCACGGCAGGUCAGUAUGCCCCGAAACCCUAGGGCUACACGCGGGCUGCAAUGGUAUUGACAAUGUGUUCCGAAUCCGAAAGGAGGAGGCAAUCAUCAAACGAUACCUCAGUUAUGACUGAGGGCUGUAACUCGCCCUCACGAAUAUGGAAUCCCUAGUAACUGCGCGUCACUACCGCGCGGUGAAUACGUCCCUGCUCCUUGCACACACCGCCCGUCGUUUCAUCGAAGUUGGCCUUUAGUGAGGUAGUGUCUACUUGGCAUUAUCGAGCUUGAGGUCAGUGACGAGGGAAAAGUCGUAACAAG
rnacentral:rRNA from 1 species